GACGAACGCUGGCGGCGUGCCUAAUACAUGCAAGUAGAACGCUGAAGAGAGGAGCUUGCUCUUCUUGGAUGAGUUGCGAACGGGUGAGUAACGCGUAGGUAACCUGCCUGGUAGCGGGGGAUAACUAUUGGAAACGAUAGCUAAUACCGCAUAAAAUUGAUUAUUGCAUGAUAAUUAAUUGAAAGAUGCAACUGCAUCACUACCAGAUGGACCUGCGUUGUAUUAGCUAGUUGGUGAGGUAACGGCUCACCAAGGCGACGAUACAUAGCCGACCUGAGAGGGUGAUCGGCCACACUGGGACUGAGACACGGCCCAGACUCCUACGGGAGGCAGCAGUAGGGAAUCUUCGGCAAUGGGGGGAACCCUGACCGAGCAACGCCGCGUGAGUGAAGAAGGGUUUCGGAUCGUAAAGCUCUGUUGUAAGAGAAGAACGGGUGUGAGAGUGGAAAGUUCACACUGUGACGGUAUCUGACCAGAAAGGGACGGCUAACUACGUG
rnacentral:rRNA from 1 species